rnacentral:piRNA from 1 species
UGACAAGAAAAGAAGCCCGUGACAUUG